rnacentral:lncRNA from 1 species
CACAGCCAUUUGUGGGAUUUUACUGCACGCUAACAGAGCAUCCAGCUCCUGGCUAUCAAUGCGUAAGGCUCUAGGGACCAGGUAACACGUGCAAAAUAAACUGCUACGGCAUUGAAGCAGAGAUAUCAGUCAUUGCCACUUUCAGCUCUUGUUGCUAAGUGGUCCCAAAUGGCACCAUAGUUCUUGCAUGAAUCCACUGGAAGAGUCACUUCUGGGGAGGAAUGGCUCUGGGAACUGCACAGCUCCCAGCACACAUAGGUUGCGUUUGUUGGGAGCAAUGCAUUGUGAGAACACCAAUGUGAUGUCACCUCCUCCUUCAUCAGUUGUGAUGUUCCAGGCCCACCGCAGCCAUCGCGUGCAUCAGGGAGAUCUGUUCGUUGGCUUCAGCAUGGAUACAGGGAGAAGGAAAACACCAGGAGAGAUGGAUCUGAGAAGAGGAGCAGGAAUAAUGUACGAGCACUUCAUCGGAAUAUUUGUGAUCCACAUAAUGGAGUUCUGAAAACGUCUUGAUCUCAAUCUUUACGUCGUGGUCUGACAAAACUACUGAAGGACUGUAAGGAAAGCACUACAAGCAGGUCAAGGUUUAGCUGGUGCUGUGGGACCAUUUAAACACUGCAGAAAAAUAACUAUCUCCACCAGGUACAAACUGUAUAAUCAGGAUGUAAUAAGAAGGAGAAGGUGAUGGGGCAGCCUACCACGACUUGUAUUGAUUUAAACAGGAAGAGGCAAUAAAAUCUUGUGAAUGCUUUUCUCUUCA